UUUAGAGUUCUACAGUCCUAAGUGACUGAAAGGGCUGAGGAUGAGGAGGAAAUCAAUGCUGAGCUGACAGCCAAGAAAAGAAAACUGGAGGAUGAAUGUUCA